rnacentral:rRNA from 1 species
GAGUUUGAUCCUGGCUCAGAUUGAACGCUGGCGGCAUGCCUUACACAUGCAAGUCGAACGGCAGCACGGGAGCUUGCUCCUGGUGGCGAGUGGCGAACGGGUGAGUAAUGCAUCGGAACGUAUCCUGGAGUGGGGGAUAACGUAGCGAAAGUUACGCUAAUACCGCAUAUUCUGUGAGCAGGAAAGCGGGGGACCUUCGGGCCUCGCGCUCUUGGAGCGGCCGAUGUCGGAUUAGCUAGUUGGUGAGGUAAAGGCUCACCAAGGCGACGAUCCGUAGCAGGUCUGAGAGGAUGAUCUGCCACACUGGAACUGAGACACGGUCCAGACUCCUACGGGAGGCAGCAGUGGGAAUUUUGGACAAUGGGGGCAACCCUGAUCCAGCCAUGCCGCGUGAGUGAAGAAGGCCUCGGUUGUAAGUACGUCUUCGUCGAGGGAAGAAGUAGU